rnacentral:rRNA from 1 species
GGCAGACGGGUGAGUAACGCGUGGGAAUCUACCCAUCCCUACGGAGCAACUCCGGGAAACUGGAGCUAAUACCGUAUACGCCCUUUGGGGGAAAGAUUUAUCGGGGAUGGAUGAGCCCGCGUUGGAUUAGCUAGUUGGUGGGGUAAAGGCCUACCAAGGCGACGAUCCAUAGCUGGUCUGAGAGGAUGAUCAGCCACAUUGGGACUGAGACACGGCCCAAACUCCUACGGGAGGCAGCAAGGUGGGGAAUAUUGGACAAUGGGCCGCAAGCCUGAUCCAGCCAUGCCGCGUGAAUGAUGAAGGGCCUUACGGGCUUGUAAAAGUUCUUUCACCGGAGAAGAUAAUGACCGGUAUCCGGAGAAUAUAGUCCCCGGCUAAACCUUCGUGCCUACCGCCGCGG